GAGCCACAGACGAUUGAGUCCAUCAACCUGCUGAAGGAGAAGAAAUGCCCCUUCAUAGUAGCACUUAACAAGAUUGACCGUCUGUACGACUGGAAGAAGAGUCCAGACACAGACGUGGUGGCCACACUGAAGAAGCAGAAGAAAAACACCAAGGAUGAGUUUGAUGAGAGGGCUAAAGCUGUCAUCGUGGAGUUUGCUCAGCAGGUCUGUUGUCAUCGUCUUGUACAGUUCAGUACAAUCUC